ensembl:lncRNA
AUGCUGUGGAAGUGUAAGUACUGUGAGUUUAUGUGUGAGAAAAGGGGUUACCUUUUGAAACAUUAUCUGUUAAAACACGGAAACUAUGGUAGAACUGUCCUAUUUCCCUGCUUACACCAAAAAUGUGUGUGCACAUUCAAAUCUAUUAAUGCACUUAAGGUCCACUUAGCAAAGAUUCACCAGAAAACCCAGGCUGCACAACUGAGUGAAACUCCUGAAGUAACCUUUCACUGUCAGUCAUGUGAUUUUUCUGCACCCUGCACAGAAACAGUAUUUCUCACUCACCUGCGCAGUACACAUUUAAAGGUAAAUCACAGAGUCCAGUGUCCAUAUAAUGGCUGUAACUUUCACACAAAUGUGUAUUCUACAUUUAAUGCACACAGAAGUAAGGAGCACAGAACACACAACUGGAGGAUGUUCAGGCCAGAAAUAGUCUCUAAUGAAAUGGCCCAAGAAGAACAUGAGCCUCCAAAUGACACCCUUGAAUCAGAAGACAGUGAGGAUUCUACCAUUGAAGAUCUUAAUGAUCUAGAGAAACAGCUGGAGCACAACCUAGCAGCUCUUUUUUUAAAGAUGCAAACGGUCCUACACAUUCCAGAAAGUACGGUACAAGAAGUCAUACAACAGCUGUUACAGAUGUGUGAACUAUCCCAGCCACUGCUGCAUAAUGCACUCAAAGACAUUCUGAAACAACAGACAGAUGUAGAUGAUUCAGUUGUGGAAGAGUUAGUCAGGGCUGCCGCAAAGAGCAAUGUGAUCAUGAAAUUUUGUGGCAAGGAUGGCCCCUUAUCAACAACAAAAAGGAGAGCAGCAUAUGUGAAUAAAAACUUCACAGAGGUUAAACCAGUGGAGUACAUUAUUGAAAGAGGAAAAAAAUCUAGUGCUGUAUAUGUUCCUUUGCAUCCAAUGCUACAGAAGAUGUUGAAUAGGGCAGAUAUUUUGGACAAAGCUCUUCCCGUCCAAAAGCAUGUGCAACAUGAGUACAGUUCAUACAGAGAUGGCUCGCUGUUGACUUGUUUUUUUUUUUUUUUACUUUCUUACCUGUGGGGUAAAUCUUUUUAUUUUCUGUAA